GGAGAAAGCAGGGGACCUUCGGGCCUUGCGCUAUCAGAUGAGCCUAGGUCGGAUUAGCUAGUUGGUGAGGUAAUGGCUCACCAAGGCUACGAUCCGUAACUGGUCUGAGAGGAUGAUCAGUCACACUGGAACGGAGACACGGUCCAGACUCCUACGGGAGGCAGCAGUGGGGAAUAUUGGACAAUGGGCGAAAGCCUGAUCCAAAAAGUGCCGCGUGUGUGAAGAAGGUCUUCGGA
rnacentral:rRNA from 1 species